GGGGAAUUUUGGACAAUGGGGGCAACCCUGAUCCAGCCAUGCCGCGUGAGUGAAGAAGGCCUUCGGGUUGUAAAGCUCUUUCGGUGGGAACGAAACGGUUCGUGCCAAUACCACGGACUACUGACGGUACUCACAGAAGAAGCACCGGCUAACUACGUGCCAGCAGCCGCGGUAAUACGUAGGGUGCAAGCGUUAAUCGGAAUUACUGGGCGUAAAGCGUGCGCAGGCGGUGAUGUAAGACAGAUGUGAAAUCCCCGGGCUCAACCUGGGAACUGCAUUUGUGACUGCAUCGCUGGAGUGCGGCAGAGGGGGAUGGAAUUCCGCGUGUAGCAGUGAAAUGCGUAGAUAUGCGGAGGAACACCGAUGGCGAAGGCAAUCCCCUGGGCCUGCACUGACGCUCAUGCACGAAAGCGUGGGGAGCAAAC
rnacentral:rRNA from 1 species